GACGAACGCUGGCGGCGUGCCUAAUACAUGCAAGUUGAGCGCUGAAGGUUGGUACUUGUACCGACUGGAUGAGCAGCGAACGGGUGAGUAACGCGUGGGGAAUCUGCCUUUGAGCGGGGGACAACAUUUGGAAACGAAUGCUAAUACCGCAUAAAAACUUUAAACACAAGUUUUAAGUUUGAAAGAUGCAAUUGCAUCACUCAAAGAUGAUCCCGCGUUGUAUUAGCUAGUUGGUGAGGUAAAGGCUCACCAAGGCGAUGAUACAUAGCCGACCUGAGAGGGUGAUCGGCCACAUUGGGACUGAGACACGGCCCAAACUCCUACGGGAGGCAGCAGUAGGGAAUCUUCGGCAAUGGACGAAAGUCUGACCGAGCAACGCCGCGUGAGUGAAGAAGGUUCUCGGAUCGUAAAACUCUGUUGGUAGAGAAGAACGUUGGUGAGAGUGGAAAGCUCAUCAAGUGACGGUAACUACCCAGAAAGGGACGGCUAACUACGUG
rnacentral:rRNA from 1 species